GACGAGUGGGGAACUGGUGGAGUAACACGUGGGUAACCUGCCCUUGAAGUAGGGGAUAACACUUGGAAACAGGUGCUAAUACCGUAUAACAACCAAAACCACCUGGUUUUGGUUUAAAAGACGGCUUCGGCUGUCACUUUAGGAUGGACCCGCGGCGCAUUAGCUUGUUGGUAAGGUAACGGCUUACCAAGGCGAUGAUACGUAGCCGACCUGAGAGGGCAAUCGGCCACAUUGGGACUGAGACACGGCCCAAACUCCUACGGGAGGCAGCAGUAGGGAAUCUUCCACAAUGGACGAAAGUCUGAUGGAGCAACGCCGCGUGAGUGAUGAAGGGUUUCGGCUCGUAAAACUCUGUUGUUGGAGAAGAACAGGUGUCAGAGUAACUGUUGACAUCUUGACGGUAUCCAACCAGAAAGCCACGGCUAACUACGUGCCAGCAGCCGCGGUAAUACGUAGGUGGCAAGCGUUGUCCGGAUUUAUUGGGCGUAAAGCGAGCGCAGGCGGUUUUUUAGGUCUGAUGUGAAAGCCUUCGGCUUAACCGGAGAAGUGCAUCGGAAACCGGGAGACUUGAGUGCAGAAGAGGACAGUGGAACUCCAUGUGUAGCGGUGAAAUGCGUAGAUAUAUGGAAGAACACCAGUGGCGAAGGCGGCUGUCUGGUCUGUACCUGACGCUGAGGCUCGAAAGCAUGGGUAGCGAACAGGAUUAGAUACCCUGGUAGUCCAUGCCG
rnacentral:rRNA from 1 species